AAGGAUCAUUAUCGUACAAUCGAGGUGCAAGGGCUGUCGCUGACCUCCAAAGGUUGUGCACGCCCGAGUGCUCUCACACAAUCCAUCUCACCCCUUUUGUGCAUCACCGCGUGGGUCCCCCUUUUGCGGGGAGGGCUUGCGUUUUCACAUAAACUUGAUACAGUCUAGAAUGUCUAUUUUUGCGGUCACACGCAAUCAAUACAACUUUCAACAACGGAUCUCUUGGCUCUCGCAUCGAUGAAGAACGCAGCGAAAUGCGAUACGUAAUGUGAAUUGCAGAAUUCAGUGAAUCAUCGAAUCUUUGAACGCACCUUGCGCCCCUUGGCAUUCCGAGGGGCACACCCGUUUGAGUGUCGUGAAAUUCUCAAAACCCUUUUCUUUGAUCCUUUUUGGUCAGGAAUAGGACUUUUGGACUUGGAGGCUCAAUGCUCGCUUUUGUUUUUGAAAGCGAGCUCCUCUCAAAUGAAUUAGUGGGGUCCGCUUUGUUGAUCCUUAACGUGAUAAGAUGCUUCUACGUUUUGGAUUUGGCACUGUUUUCUGGACGUCCGCUCCUAACCGUCUCGUGGACAAUGAUGGUGCUCCGGUCGUC
rnacentral:rRNA from 1 species